rnacentral:tRNA from 1 species
CGGCAUUUAAUUCAGUGGCAGAAGACACGGCUUAUAUCCGGGUUGCCGGGGGUUCGAUUCCCUCAAUGCCGA